rnacentral:rRNA from 1 species
GACGAACGCUGGCGGCGUGCUUAACACAUGCAAGUCGAACGGUGAACUCCGCUUGCGGGGGGAUCAGUGGCGAACGGGUGAGUAACACGUGGGCAACCUGCCCUCAGCUCUGGGAUAACUCCAAGAAAUUGGGGCUAAUACCGGAUAUGACCGCUGACCGCAUGGUCUGGUGGUGGAAAGAUCUAUCGGCUGGGGAUGGGCCCGCGGCCUAUCAGCUUGUUGGUGGGGUAGUGGCCUACCAAGGCGACGACGGGUAGCCGGCCUGAGCGGGUGACCGGCCACACGGGGACUGAGAGACGGCGCAGACGCCUACGGGAGGCAGCAGUGGGGAAUAUGGCGCAAUGGGCGAGAGCCUGACGCAGCGGCGCCGGGGGGGUGAUGACGGCCUUCGGGGUGGAAACCGCGUUCAGCAGGGACGAAGCGAAAGUGACGGUACCUGCAGAAGAAGCACCGGCCAACUACGUG